AGAACCUUGAGGAAAAUUAGUAUCGCCAUACCUAAAAAAUAUUACUUUAAUGAGCUGAUAAAUUUUAUAGGAAUAAAGAGAGGUUGUGUUUUAACAAAAGAUGAAACAGAUCGUACGUGGGAUCCAUUUGAAGAAAAAAAAACUGAUGUUAAACACAAUCUCGAAAGUAGCACAAAAAGAAAAGACAUUCACACUAAGAAAAAGAAGUGCAAUCUUCAAGUGGCCACACAGUCACUGAAUGAAAAGGACAACAUCAACUCAAGUGUUGUCCUCAAAAUUGAUGAAAAAGAGUGAAAGCAUUACGUUAGGAUCAUUUCUUAACUACACUAAGCAUAAAAAAUAAAAGAAUGGCGAAGAUAGUUUUUAUUCUUUAUAUCAUGAUAAGUGAUAAGAUUGAACUUUGAGUUAAAAGAAAGUCAUUUAGAGUUAGAAUAUAAUACUUUGAUCUCUUACUUAAGUUUUAACUUUUGAUUUCUUCUAAAAUUUGCGAAAUAAAUUUAAAGCUUUCUUUAUUUA